rnacentral:rRNA from 1 species
AACGAACGCUGGCGGCAGGCUUAACACAUGCAAGUCGAGCGCCCCGCAAGGGGAGCGGCAGACGGGUGAGUAACGCGUGGGAAUCUACCCAUCUCUACGGAACAACUCCGGGAAACUGGAGCUAAUACCGUAUACGUCCUUCGGGAGAAAGAUUUAUCGGAGAUGGAUGAGCCCGCGUUGGAUUAGCUAGUUGUUGGGGUAAUGGCCUACCAAGGCGACGAUCCAUAGCUGGUCUGAGAGGAUGAUCAGCCACACUGGGACUGAGACACGGCCCAGACUCCUACGGGAGGCAGCAGUGGGGAAUAUUGGACAAUGGGCGCAAGCCUGAUCCAGCCAUGCCGCGUGAGUGAUGAAGGCCCUAGGGUUGUAAAGCUCUUUCAACGGUGAAGAUAAUGACGGUAACCGUAGAAGAAGCCCCGGCUAACUUCGUGCCAGCCGCCGCCGUAACAC